GGCGAACGCUGGCGGCGUGCCUACCACAUGCAAGUCGAACGGGGAGUUAGCAAUAACUCCUAGUGGCGAACGGGUGAGUAACGCGUAGACAACCUGCCUCUAAACUGGGGACAACACCGCGAAAGUGGUCCUCAUACCGAAUGUGGUAACUUGAUCGAAUGAUCGAGUUAAGAAAGAUGGCCUCUAUUUAUAAGCUAUCGAUUAGAGAUGGGUCGGGGACUGAUUAGCUAGUUGGUGAGGUAAUGGCUCACCAAGGUGACGAUCAGUAGCCGGUCUGGGAGGAUGAACGGCCACACUGGGACUGAGACACGGCCCAGACUCCUACGGGAGGCAGCAGUGGGGAAUCUUCCACAAUGGACGAAAGUCUGACGGAGCAACGCCGAGUGAGUGAAGAAGGUCUUCGGAUUGGAAAGCUCUGUCGUUUGGGACGAACGUGGGUAGUGUGAAUAAUGCUAUCUAAUGACGGUACCAAAGGAGGAAGCCACGGCUAACUACGUGCCAGCCGCCGCCGUAA
rnacentral:rRNA from 1 species